rnacentral:rRNA from 1 species
AUGAACGCUAGCGGCAGGCUUAACACAUGCAAGUCGAGGGGCAGCGCGGGAUAGCAAUAUCCUGGCGGCGACCGGCGGAAGGGUGCGUAACGCGUGAGCGACAUGCCCGUUGCCCGGGGACAACCGGUGGAAACGCCGACUAAUCCCCGAUGGGAUAUUGUGCCGCAUGGCACGAUAUUGAAAGUUACGGCGGCGACGGAUUGGCUCGCGUCCGAUUAGCUUGUUGGCGGGGUAACGGCCCACCAAGGCUACGAUCGGUAGGGGUUCUGAGAGGAAGGCCCCCCACAAUGGGACUGAGACACGGCCCAUACUCCUACGGGAGGCAGCAGUGAGGAAUAUUGGUCAAUGGGCGGAAGCCUGAACCAGCCAUGCCGCGUGCGGGAAGGAGGCCCUAUGGGCUGUGAACCGCUUUUGCCUGGGGGCAAUAAGGGCGUCGCGCACGUCCGAUGAGAGUACCAGGCGAAUAAGCAUCGGCUAACUCCGUGCCAGCAGCCGCGGUAAUACGGGGGAUGCGAGCGUUAUCCGGAUUCAUUGGGUUUAAAGGGUGCGUAGGCUGUGCGUCAAGUCGGGGGUGAAAUUCCGGUGCUCAACACCGGGGCUGCCCUUGAUACUGUCGCGCUGGAGUGCGGAUGCCGCCGGAGGAAUGAGUGGUGUAGCGGUGAAAUGCUUAGAUAUCACUCAGAACACCGAUUGCGAAGGCAUCUGGCGAAUCCGUAACUGACGCUGAGGCACGAAAGCGUGGGGAUAGAACAGGAUUAGAUACCCUGGUAGUCCACACCGUAAACGAUGGAUACUAGGUGUAGGGUGUAUUAAACAUUCUGUGCCGUCGCAAACGCAGUAAGUAUCCCACCUGGGGAGUACGGCCGCAAGGUUGAAACUCAAAGGAAUUGACGGGGGCCCGCACAAGCGGAGGAACAUGUGGUUUAAUUCGAUGAUACGCGAGGAACCUUACCCGGGCUCGAACGGCACCUGAAUCACCCAGAGAUGGUUGAGUCUUCGGACAGGUGUCGAGGUGCUGCAUGGUUGUCGUCAGCUCGUGCCGUGAGGUGUCGGCUCAAGUGCCAUAACGAGCGCAACCCUUGCCGCCAGUUGCCAUCAGGUCAAGCUGGGCACUCUGGCGGGACUGCCACCGCAAGGUGUGAGGAGGGGGGGGAUGACGUCAAAUCAGCACGGCCCUUACGUCCGGGGCGACACACGUGUUACAAUGGCGGCCACAGAGGGAUGCUACCCCGCGAGGGGAUGCGGAUCUCGAAAAGCCGUCCCAGUUCGGACUGGAGUCUGCAACCCGACUCCACGAAGUUGGAUUCGCUAGUAAUCGCGCAUCAGCCAUGGCGCGGUGAAUACGUUCCCGGGCCUUGUACACACCGCCCGUCAAGCCAUGGAAGCCGCGGGCGCCUGAAGUCCGUGACCGGAAGGAGCGGCCUAGGGCGAAAGUGGUAACUGGGGCU